UUUUAUAAUUGGUAAGGAAUAUAGCUUGAAAGUUCGAAAUAUGGAGGAAUGAGCUAGAGUCCUUGGCUUGAAGGUGCGGCGUGGCCGGAGGGUUUCGGCAGGACGUUUCCAGAACAGCAAGGCAGUUGCGGACGGCGGGACGUGGAACCAGGGAAAACUUCGGUGACCAGCCUCCAGAGGCAAAAGCUUAAUAAGCUUUCUUACAGAGUCAGCCCACUGUGGGGGGACAUCCUCUGGUUCUGGUGGAUAGGACAUCCAGGACGGACUGUGGUAGGAGGGUCACGGCUGAUGCUGGAGCCUGUCAUACUACUUCAGGGUAAGAGCAAGAGACAUCUAGACAAGAUACAUUUCACACUUAAAGGGACAAUUUAAUGUAACAAAUCAGUAUAUGAAUGAGGUUUUUGGAAGCCAGAGAAAACCCCAGCAUGCACAGGGAAAACAUGCAACUCCACAAAGAAAAAGGAAACAGCCAGGAUUCAAAUAAGGGCCUUCACGCUAUGAAGUAACAGCGCUAACCCCUAUAAUUUCUAACUCUCUUGAAGCACUCCUCUUUUCUUACCUGAGUAGUUUGACACAGGUUGCUCCGCAGUGACAGAUGGAAGGGCCGCUCUUGUGGGUGGCCCAUAUGGGCUGUUCUCAUGUUGACCCCUCAAUUCAGUGACAGAUGUCUCUGCGCUCCUUCCUUUAGGAGGCCCCAAGUCAGAAGUAGAACUAAGUUGAACAGAUACAAAAAAAAAGGUUUACAAAAACUAAACUGCUAAAAUGCCUUGCCACUAGAUGGCAGACUUGUGCCACGUAAAAAAGUGACUACCUGAUUAACAUUCCUUGCAUCACUCUAUAAGCUUGUUUUGGAUAAAAAUCUAUGCAAGGACUGAAAGAACCAUGGUUAAGGCAUGUGACCUAAUAGCCUGAAGAUGCAUUUGAAGAUGAUGAAACAAUGAAUUUCUUAGCUGUUUGAGGUACUGAGGACAGAUUGUAUGUGUUUAUUGUUUGCUGCUCUUCCUUGAUCUUCUUUCCAUCCUCCUCUUCAGCCUAGUAAGUGGAAGGGAACUGCCACAUUUUCUCUCUCAUUAUUAUAAAAUUUGCUUACUGUUUUUUUACAGGUCAUAUGACUCUCUGUACAAAGAACUGAUUACAAAUUCAAUCAUACCUAAGAGUUUGGACUAUUCAAUCCAAAAUGUUUCAGUCUCAUUUAAAGUCUGUUGAAGUGCUUCUGAUUGCCCAACUUCUACAAUGAAAUCAAAUACCUGAACUUUUCUUGCAUCUGGUCACCCUUACCGUCUCAAAGAGGUCCGGGGUGGGGGGCCAGUGCGAGGUGGUAGAGGGGGAGGAGAGCCAACUGCAAUCUCUGGAAGCUGCGUGAAGCGAAAAGCCUUAAAAUGACAACAAAAGCCAAGUUUGAAAAAAUCAAAGAGGAGGACUGAGCAAGCUCAGUGUGCAGAAUCAAUGCAGAUGGGAACAUAGGAUGAAAAAAAUGAACAUGGGAUUUUUCUGCACUGGAAAAAAUGCUACAUAUGAUCAAUCAUUUACUAUGAUCUGUGAUAUGUUAAUCACCAUAGCAUUUGCAAUAGUUAUUUACUUUCACUGCAGUUUCUUUAGCACAGCAUGUCAACAAGGCGCAACCUUGUGUUUUAAAAUAAUGUAUCUUAUUAUGUAGACAUGGUCCAUGUAAUUGUGUAAAGUAUAUGUGGAAUCAAGAAUAAAAUCAGUGUCCAAAA